AACGAACGCUGGCGGCAGGCUUAACACAUGCAAGUCGAACGGGUGUAGCAAUACAUCAGUGGCAGACGGGUGAGUAACACGUGGGAACCUUCCUAGAGGUACGGAACAACGCAGGGAAACUUGCGCUAAUACCGUAUACGCUCUUGCGAGGAAAGAUUUAUCGCCUUUAGACGGGCCCGCGUCGGAUUAGCUAGUUGGUAAGGUAACGGCUUACCAAGGCGACGAUCCGUAGCUGAUCUGAGAGGAUGAUCAGCCACACUGGGACUGAGACACGGCCCAGACUCCUACGGGAGGCAGCAGUGGGGAAUCUUGGACAAUGGGCGCAAGCCUGAUCCAGCCAUGCCGCGUGAGUGAAGAAGGCCUCGGUUGUAAGACGUCUUUUGUUCUAGGGACGGAGUAAUAGACGGUACCGU
rnacentral:rRNA from 1 species